rnacentral:rRNA from 1 species
UACGUAGGGGGCUAGCGUUGUCCGGAUUUAUUGGGCGUAAAGAGCGUGUAGGCGGCCAGGUAGGUCUGGUGUGAAAACUCGAGGCUUAACCUCGAGAUGUCAUCGGAAACCAUCUGGCUAGAGUCCGGAAGAGGAGAGUGGAAUUCCUGGUGUAGCGGUGAAAUGCGCAGAUAUCAGGAAGAACACCCGUGGCGAAGGCGGCCCUCUGGGACGGUACUGACGCUGAGACGCGAAAGCGUGGGGAGCGAACAGG